GGCGGGCAAACCAUUCACUCAUUCCCCCCAAAUCGAUCCACUGGCACUCCCCCAAAUCGAUCCAUGAGCCCUCCCCCAAACCCCACAGCGCUGCCAGAUUGAUUCAACCCGGCCACAGCGGCUCGCUCGCCGCCACGACCUGCAGCCUUCGGAGUCAACUUACCUCCUCAGUCGCUCGCGCGCCGCACCUCGUCCGCUGCACCAGACCCUGCACUCACCUCCUCGCCGCUCCACAGCCGUUGCUGCACCAGCAGAAACAUGUUCAAUACUGGCGACACCUUUAGCGGUGACUUUGGAAUUAAUUCGACGCUGAAAGGCUUAUCCGUGUCCAGAACCUGCAAUCCGACUGUCCACCACCACCCUCCGGUUACAACCCGCCACUACCAGAACCUGCACUCACCUUUUCGCUACUUCACAGCCGCCGCUGCACCUGCAGGCUAGUUUGGUCGUCCUUCUUUUUCUGGUGUGGAUUGUGUGCAAUCGUAGGUAUAAGGUAGCAUCGUCAAAGAUUUGGUGAGCCCUUCUUAUCUAGGGCUUCUUAUCCUAAUAAGAAUUAAGAAACUCUCCAAAGGUUAAAGGUGUUUGCUUUUGACUGAUACAUGCUCUUUUGGUGUGUAAGUUAUGUGGUUUCUAGGAUGGAUAAGAUUAGGGUCGUUAAAGGCGUUGUCAGAUGCACUUGCACUAUCUUCGAUCUUGGUGUCGUCGACUGUACCGGUGCUACCGGCGUCUGCUGAUAUAUCUGGGCUCACUCCGUAAAGAGUCUACACAGUUUGCCAAGACGGAGAAGCAGUCAUUGAAGAAGCUUGAGAGUUCUCUUAAGCUUUAUGCACCUGACAGUGCUCCUGCUCUUGCUAUUAAGGCUACCAUGGAGAAUACCAUGCGUAGGGACUAACAAGUGAAGAAAGAAA